rnacentral:rRNA from 1 species
CACUAUGCCUAGCCCUAAACAUUGAUAAUAACCUACUUAUUUUAUCCGCCCGGGUACUACGAGCGUCAGCUUGAAACCCAAAGGACUUGGCGGUGCUUUAGAUCCACCUAGAGGAGCCUGUUCUAGAACCGAUAAUCCCCGUUAAACCUCACCUUUCCUUGUCAUUUCCGCCUAUAUACCGCCGUCGUCAGCUUACUCUGUGAAGAACCCGUAGUAAGCAUAACCGGUACAGCCUAAAACGCCAGGUCGAGGUGUAGCGAAUGGAAAGGGAAGAAAUGGGCUACAUUCAAUAUUUAAUAAUGAACACGAAUGAUAUUAUGAAAAAAAUAUCUGAAGGAGGAUUUAGCAGUAAGUAGAGAAUAGAGCGCUCUACUGAAACUGGCCCUGAAGCGCGUACACACCGCCCGUCACUCUCCCCGAGCUAACCAAAACCAUUACUAAUACACAAAAACUGCAAAGGGGAGGCAAGUCGUAA